rnacentral:rRNA from 1 species
GACGAACCGAGCGAACGUUGUUCGGAAUCACUGGGCUUAAAGGGCGCGUAGGCGGGCUGUCAAGUUUGGGGUGAAAUCCCGCGGCUCAACCGUGGAACUGCCUCGAAUACUGACGGCCUCGAGGGAGGUAGGGGCGAGCGGAACUGUGAGUGGAGCGGUGAAAUGCGUUGAUAUUCACAGGAACUCCGGUGGCGAAGGCGGCUCGCUGGACCUCUUCUGACGCUGAGGCGCGAAAGCUAGGGGAGCAAACGGG